rnacentral:rRNA from 1 species
AGUGAACGCUGGCGGUAGGCCUAACACAUGCAAGUCGAACGGCAGCACAGUAAGAGCUUGCUCUUACGGGUGGCGAGUGGCGGACGGGUGAGGAAUACAUCGGAAUCUACUUUUUCGUGGGGGAUAACGUAGGGAAACUUACGCUAAUACCGCAUACGACCUACGGGUGAAAGCAGGGGAUCUUCGGACCUUGCGCGAUUGAAUGAGCCGAUGUCGGACUAGCUAGUUGGCGGGGUAAAGGCCCACCAAGGCGACGAUCCGUAGCUGGUCUGAGAGGAUGAUCAGCCACACUGGAACUGAGACACGGUCCAGACUCCUACGGGAGGCAGCAGUGGGGAAUAUUGGACUAUGGGCGCAAGCCUGAUCCAGCCAUACCGCGUGGGUGAAGAAGGCCUUCGGGUUGUAAAGCCCUUUUGUUGGGAAAGAAAAGCAGCAGGUUAAUACCCCGCUGUUCUGACGGUACCCAAAGAAUAAGCACCGGCUAACUUCGUG